UGUUGGCAAGUGUUGCCAGACAGAGUUCGUGAUCCUGGCAAGUGUUGCCAAACAGUGUUCAGGAUCUCUGGCGCUGGCGGCCACAAUCCCAUUACCUGCAGUUUCAACGCUUCAACAAUGGGCUUGAAAAAUAAAUCUUUUUCAAGGUAUAUUAAAUGUUAUAAACAUGAUGAAAAUUAAUGGCUUUGAACUUUCAGGAGAGGAAAAAUUUAACAGUUUUUCAGUUUGAUGAGAUGAAGGUCACAGCAGACCUGAACAGAAGUAUGGGAUAGAAUCUCUGCAUAUUCCAAUAAAAUGGGUUCAGCAAUCAAAAUUUUUUCAUGAACCUGUAAAAAGAUUGUAAACAGACAAAAUAAGGAAGGAACAUGAUAGGACACUUAAUAAUGAUAGAAAUUUGUGUGGACUGGAAGACUAGUCCAGUGAUGGAGACAGUGGCAAAACAUUUAUUCUUCAACCAAACUGUCCUGAAGAAUGUAAGUCAUUAGAUGACGAAAAUGAUGCUUCAGCUAUGUAAAUAGAGCGAAAUCUCCCUCUAUUUACAUACAGUAGAACCCCUCUAAUCCGUCACCUUUGGGACUGGAGGUAUGGUCGGAACGCAAAAAAGGUCGGAUUAUCAGAAAAAAGUAAAAUAAACAAUCUUCCUUUUGUCCAGUCUU